CACGCAGGCGGCUCGUUAAAUUAGAAGUGAAAGCCCCGGGCUCAACCUGGGAAUUGCUUUUAAGACUGGCGAGCUAGAAUCCAGAAGAGGGCAGUGGAAUUCCGAGUGUAGAGGUGAAAUUCGUAGAUAUUCGGAAGAACACCAGUGGCGAAGGCGACUGCCUGGUCUGGUAUUGACGCUCAUGUGCGAAAGCGUGGGGAGCAAACAGGAUUAGAUACCCUGGUAGUCCACGCCGUAAACGAUGAGUGCUAGUUGUUGGGGUCCAUAGGACUUCAGUGACGCAGCUAACGCAUUAAGCACUCCGCCUGGGGAGUACGGCCGCAAGGUUAA
rnacentral:rRNA from 1 species